UGCACCGCAUGCCGCCACACACCUCACCCAGCUCAUUUCACAGCCCAUUAGCAAGAAAUAAAUAUUAAUAUAAUAUGAUAUUAUUCUGAUGAAAGUGAAAAAUGUGACUAUAAUAAGGCUAUCGUGUUCUACUGGAUUAAUACGCCUGUUAAUUACCAGCAGUUCCUGUGGUCUUCAGCCUAACGGAUGGCCCUGGGAGCCCAUUUUGAACCCGAAGAGCAUAAAUUCCCCAUCCCUGCAACUCCGAGGAAGGAUCGGGACCGGAGCGUGCCCAGGGUGAGGGGGCAGAGCUCCCGUGUCCCCAUCCAUCCCUGUGGGAGCGCAGGGCAGCAAGGGGUGCAGAGGGCCCUGGUAUCCCCAAGCAAGGGGCGAGCAGCUCCUGGCAGUUUGGAGCACGGGGCUGUUCCAGCCCUCAGCACGAUGCACUGGGUGCUUUUUGGCAAAUUACCCCAUCAGCAGCCUGCCCGCCCCGCCUGGCACCAUGGGCAGGACUGGUGACAUCUCUGACAGGUGACUGACAGCGAUGGAUAAAAAGUGGAUAAAAUAAAGGGGGGAAAAAGGGAAAAAAAAGAAGACGGAGAAAGAGAGAGAGGGGGAGAGAAAGAACCUCGAGAAGGCUUUACCCAGGGUUCCCUGGGCUGAGCUAUAUCAGUCAAUCUCCGGGCUAAUUCGUGUCAGUACUUGUUUCCUAUCUCCUUGAGUCUCCAGCGGAAGGUUGAUAAAAUUGAAGUGGAAAUGAAGUUGGAUGCACAGGAGGAUACAUACAACAAUAGCCUGGCGAAAUGGGUUUGUAUCCCUGAUACACUCUUUGGAGCAUCAGGAUUGGUGGUGACCUUGACAGCGUCCUUGGGAGAAUAAAGUGAAAUAAAAGGGAGAAUUUCUAUCUGGGAGAAGGAAUUUAAGCACAGCGCUGCGUGUGCCACAUGGGCUUUGUCUCACGGACCUGGCUUAUUUAUCCAGAGGGAAUUUGUGUUUGCACAAGAGCUUCCCAAGCUGUCUGAGAUGCACGGAGCCAGCCUCGCUACCGCACUGCGAGACACUGCUUGUGAAAAACCCUCCAUUGCCUCAACUGGCUGUGGAUGAGCGGGAGGUAACUGGUCACAGUGUGAGGGCAGGGUCCCUCCAGCCAUACAUCCUGAUUCCCUGCAGGCUGCAGACUGUAGAGGUGUCUGUUUAAUGGCAGCAGAUAUCUUCCUUCAGCUGCCUUUUCUGUUGCAGAUGUGCUGGACCUGAGGCUGGUGCUGACUCAGAGCUUGCAGGCUUGCUGUGUGCAGGCACGGCAGCACCGACAGCUCGCUCCUUCCAAACACAGGGCUCAUAGGGCAUCACGAGGUACCUCGGCUGGAGCAUUUGGUAGCUGUAAUUUGGUGGCACCGAUGCGAGGUGGAACUGAUGUGCUCCUCGGAGCGGUACCCCCAUGGUGGGAUGCAGCACCGUGCUCUGAAGUCACAGAGCUCCGGCUUUCCUCAGCAGAGAUCCACGUGGGAGAUGGAUCAGAAGCAGCAGGCCUGGGGCUCCCCACCCAGGAAGAGACUUCCUCAGAGCAGGUGCAGAAGAUGCAGCAAAAUCACCCAACUUCCCCAAAACAAACGGAGCUCAGAGCGAUGCCAGCGGUGAUGACCAUGGAAAACAGCACUGAGCCCCACUCCCUGCCCAGCCCCAGCCCGGGCUUUGGCUAAUAAGAACCAGCUGGGUUUUUCCACUCUGAUAGCUGUGAGAAACUGAUGACAACCUGUUUGACCGCUGACCUCUGAACUUGACCCCCCGCUAAUACCUUCAGCUGCUGAUUGUCAUGGGUGGCUGGCAGAGCCCUUUGUCUUUCGCUGUUUUGGAGUCCAGACAGAUAAAUGAUUUCUAUUUGUCCUUUGGCGCAACGGAAGAGCUGAUCGAUAUUAUCCACGAAUGAUGUCAAGGAUUUGUCGCCACAGCUUAUGAAUGACAAAACACUACCCAAAAAAACACCUUUUGGGGCAAAAGAUUGAAAGCUGGAAAGGUUUAUUGAUUUUUGCUUUCUUAAAUAGCAGCUCAGGCCACAAAAGAGAAAACGAAAAGCUUUGUGUGCUAAAAUGCAGCAAAAAGCUUCCUCGAGAACAACGAUUAGAUCAGCUCUUGCAUUUAAGUACUGUGUGCCUUGCCACAGUCAACUGCUCAAUUUUGUCUGCUAAGCCCACUGCAAUUUCUGCUCAUUUUUCCUUAUUUCAAAAGCCCUCGUACAGUGAAAUACCAGCCAUGGAAUAAAACACUUCUCUGCUUUUGCCCACUGGUCACUCGGGUUGAGCUGGUGCACCUCCAGGGUGAGCAGGCAGCUCAGCAGCACAACAGCUCAGGGAGCUGAACUUCUUCAUCUCACUAUUUUUGGCAAACCAUUUCUUUCCCUGCAGACGCAUUUUGUUCAAACACUUUUUGCAUGCACUCAGCUGCGGUUCUACAAGCACCAGACAACAGGCUGUGAAGGCAGGAUUGGGGUUUCCGAUGCUGGAGGUGUCUGCACAGCGCUCAGGCACACAGCUGUGCUCCCUCACACACUGCCACCCCACCCCAAAACGAGUCCCUCGGGUGAAGUCAGCACAUCUCUCUCCUGGGAGAAAGCCAACCUUCUUGCCAAACAAGUGAGAAAUCCCCACAGCUCUCUGGAACCUGCAGGGCAGGAGGAGCUGCUGCCGCCUGCGGUGUAGUGGGGGAACUGGGGCAGUUCGGCAUGGACAGGAUCCAGUCACCAGGAGGCUGCAGCUCAUCACUUUUUGGGCCCGUAUUAACCACACGCAGAGCAAAAUGGGCACAUUUCUCAUCCACAGCUUCACUCAUCCCUGUUUCCCAGGCGGUUGCUCUCCACGGAGGCCACCUUACUGCAUUCAUUUGGGAGAUGAAGGAAUCCAGCCAUCGAUCCCUUUCACCAAGACUGUUCCAACUGACGUUACAAUUUCUGGAUUUCUUCCCUCCUUUUCCAAGUUCCACACUGCUCAGCUCUGUGGCCAAAGCAGCUCCAGAAGUCCCUGGAUGAAACAGGAGAGGUUCUCCUGGCUCAGCGCCCUGCUGGAGGCUCAGUGAACCCUGCUUGGCUCUCGGGUGGGUGAUGGAUGCCCAAGAAGGGUCAAAGGGGUUUGGUUACAACGGCGUAACGCACGUCUCCAGGAAGUGCAUUAGUUUGGUCUAAAAGGCUGAGAUCAGCGGAGCGAGGCAGGGCUUUCCUCAAACACGCCUGAUCCACGCAAAUGAAGAAAGCUGGCAGCUAUUUUGGCUCGGGAAGCCUGACCACUGAAAGGCGACAGCCCUUGGCCACGUUCCCACCAUGAGGACAGAGAAGAGAAGAACGACACCUCACCUGUGGCUUGGGAGCAAUCACGACCGGCACCGCUGCCACCUCCACCGCAGCACGAGGAGAGCUCGGCCACUGCUGCCCACCGUCCCACUGUGCUGCCCACCGUCCCACUGUGCCUGCUGGAGGGGCAUUGAGCCCUGCCAUUUUGAUUUUCCAUCUGCACUGCAUCAAAGGCAACGACCCCUGUCAAUCCCGAGACACAACCCAUGUGGAAGCGCAGGAAAUACCCUGCUUCGCUGCAGAUUUGGCUGUGACAAAUGUAAUGCUUUCUUUAGGGUUCUGUUUGUUUAAUUAAAUUUUACGCACGGAUAAAACGUUUUGUGAAAUUUCCACUGUGGGGUGUUGUAAUUAAAACUGGCGAACUCGAUA